GCCCCCGUUGUCUAAUGGUUAUGACGUCAGACUUCUACCCUUGUGUAUCUGGAGGUUGCGGGUUCGAGUCCCGCCGGGGGUU